UACGGGGGGGGCAAGCGUUGUUCGGAAUUACUGGGCGUAAAGGGCUCGUAGGCGGCCAACUGAGUCAUACGCGAAAUCCCUCGGCUUAACCGGGGAACUGCGUCUGAUACUGGAUGGCUUGAGUUCGGGAGAGGGAUGCGGAAUUCCAGGUGUAGCGGUGAAAUGCGUAGAUAUCUGGAGGAACACCGGUGGCGAAGGCGGCAUCCUGGACCGAUACUGACGCUGAGGAGCGAAAGCCAGGGGAGCAAACGGG
rnacentral:rRNA from 1 species